AUCCAGCUGAAGAGUCUUAAAUAGGACGAAACGCACUUUGUCCUGGAU
rnacentral:hammerhead_ribozyme from 1 species